GCGGAAGUGGCGAAAUUGGUAGACGCACCAGAUUUAGGUUCUGGUGCCGCGAGGCGUAAGAGUUCAAGUCUCUUCUUCCGCACCA
rnacentral:tRNA from 1 species